UGGACAUGUUUAUCACCAUCAUCACUAUAAUCCUCAUCACUGUCCACCUCUGGUGGAUCAUCUACUUCUUCAUCACUGCCAUGCACUGAAUGUUCCUCCUUGAGCUCCUUCGCAGGUCCAUCAGACAUCCGAGGAGAGCUACAACAAGAAGAGUGGUAUCUACUUCCAGUAUCAGUCCAAUCAGCCCUCGACUCAUCAACACUUCCAGCAUGACUAGUACCACCAUCACUGGGCCAAGCACUGAUUCCAAAGUGGCCAAACUGAAGAUUAACUGGUUC
rnacentral:misc_RNA from 1 species